UUAAACUGAAGAGUUUGAUCCUGGCUCAGAUUGAACGCUGGCGGCAUGCCUUACACAUGCAAGUCGAACGGCAGCACGGGUGCUUGCACCUGGUGGCGAGUGGCGAACGGGUGAGUAAUACAUCGGAACAUGUCCUGUAGUGGGGGAUAGCCCGGCGAAAGCCGGAUUAAUACCGCAUACGAUCCACGGAUGAAAGCGGGGGACCUUCGGGCCUCGCGCUAUAGGGUUGGCCGAUGGCUGAUUAGCUAGUUGGUGGGGUAAAGGCCUACCAAGGCGACGAUCAGUAGCUGGUCUGAGAGGACGACCAGCCACACUGGGACUGAGACACGGCCCAGACUCCUACGGGAGGCAGCAGUGGGGAAUUUUGGACAAUGGGCGAAAGCCUGAUCCAGCAAUGCCGCGUGUGUGAAGAAGGCCUUCGGGUUGUAAAGCACUUUUGUCCGGAAAGAAAUCCUUGGCUCUAAUACAGCCGGGGGAUGACGGUACCGGAAGAAUAAGCACCGGCUAACUACGUGCCAGCAGCCGCGGUAAUACGUAGGGUGCGAGCGUUAAUCGGAAUUACUGGGCGUAAAGCGUGCGCAGGCGGUUUGCUAAGACCGAUGUGAAAUCCCCGGGCUCAACCUGGGAACUGCAUUGGUGACUGGCAGGCUAGAGUAUGGCAGAGGGGGGUAGAAUUCCACGUGUAGCAGUGAAAUGCGUAGAGAUGUGGAGGAAUACCGAUGG
rnacentral:rRNA from 1 species